AUUGAACGCUGGCGGCAGGCCUAACACAUGCAAGUCGAGCGGAUGAAGGGAGCUUGCUCCUGGAUUCAGCGGCGGACGGGUGAGUAAUGCCUAGGAAUCUGCCUGGUAGUGGGUGAUAACGUCCGGAAACGGGCGCUAAUACCGCAUACGUCCUGCGGGAGAAAGUGGGGGAUCUUCGGACCUCACGCUAUCAGAUGAGCCUAGGUCGGAUUAGCUAGUUGGUGGGGUAAAGGCCUACCAAGGCGACGAUCCGUAACUGGUCUGAGAGGAUGAUCAGUCACACUGGAACUGAGACACGGUCCAGACUCCUACGGGAGGCAGCAGUGGGGAAUAUUGGACAAUGGGCGAAAGCCUGAUCCAGCCAUGCCGCGUGUGUGAAGAAGGUCUUCGGAUUGUAAAGCACUUUAAGUUGGGAGGAAGGGCAGUAAGUUAAUACCUUGCUGUUUUGACGUUAACAACAGAAUAAGCACCGGCUAACUUCGUG
rnacentral:rRNA from 1 species